UACGUAGGGGGCGAGCGUUGUCCGGAGUUACUGGGCGUAAAGGGCAUGCAGGCGGUCGGACGCGUUUCGGGUGACAGCGGGUGGCUUAACUACCCGAGUGGUCGAAAGACGGUUUGACUUGAGGACGCGAGAGGGACACGGAAUUCCGGGUGGAGUGGUGAAAUGCGUAGAGAUCCGGAGGAACACCGACGGCGCAGGCAGCGUCCUGGCCGCGACCUGACACUGAGGCACGAAAGCUGGGGGAGCAAACAGG
rnacentral:rRNA from 1 species